AGGCUGCACAGGCCACUCUUGAAAGAGUUGAGUCAUCAAGGCCGAGAAUCCAGGUGCUUUGCCCCAGGCUGUCGCUCAGUGUCCCACUUCCCCGCGCUUCACCGACUGUGACAGGCUGCCACUUCAAUCAGAUGUGAAGGGCCAGAGCGCUGGGCACGAUUUGGGGACACAUGCCUUUGAAGCCUUGAUCUGCCAUCCCCAGCACCAGAACUGUGAAUGAAGAAGCUUCCAAAAUGACUAUAGCUCUAGCCACCGGCUGACUGCAUCCUGAUGAAUGAAUAGCCCAGCUUAACUGCUUCCAAAUUCCUGACCUACAAAACCCACAAGAUCUAAUAAACAAUGAUUGCUGUU